CCUACGGGAGGCUGCAGUGAGGAAUAUUGGUCAAUGGACGAGAGUCUGAACCAGCCAAGUAGCGUGAAGGAUGACUGCCCUAUGGGUUGUAAACUUCUUUUAUAUGGGAAUAAAAUGUUCCACGUGUGGGAUUUUGUAUGUACCAUAUGAGUAAGGAUCGGCUAACUCCGUGCCAGCAGCCGCGGUAAUCCGGAGGAUCCGAGCGUUAUCCGGAUUUAUUGGGUUUAAAGGGAGCGUAGGUGGAUUGUUAAGUCAGUUGUGAAAGUUUGCGGCUCAACCGUAAAAUUGCAGUUGAAACUGGCAGUCUGGAGUACAGUAGAGGUGGGCGGAAUUCGUGGUGUAGCGGUGAAAUGCUUAGAUAUCACGAAGAACUCCGAUUGCGAAGGCAGCUCACUGGACUGCAACUGACACUGAGGCUCGAAAGUGUGGGUAUCAAACAGGAUUAGAUACCCCAGUAGUC
rnacentral:rRNA from 1 species